CUGAACAUCAGCUUCAGUUGCUGCUUCAUCCUCUCUGACUUCAUCUCAUCAGUUACAGGUGUUGAGCUGCAGAGAAACUCCACAAUGACUCCAAAUGUUCUCUGCCUGCUCUUUCUUUUGAUGGCCGACAUGUCUCUGAGUGCUCCAGCUAAAAAUGAGGAUCCAGUCG